UUUCAAGCAUUCUGUUUGUGGUACAGGUGAUGACAAUGUUCUCAUCACUUCUAAUUCUUUGCCUACUUUAUCCUUUGGUUUUGGGGUAGCGAUAUUUUAACAACUAGUUUUUUACAACACUUUUGACAACGCCACGUGGCACAUUGUAAUUGGUUGGGUUUGAAUUUCAUUUUUUUAAUAAGAAAAUGUGCUUUUGAUGAAUUUCCCAAAGUGUCCCGCUUAAUUUUUUCACUGAAACCUCUUUCCAGAAGAGUUGGUGCUCAAUGUUAGGGAUUUCAUUUUCAAAUUUUCGUUCUCUCUCCUUCGCGCAAUCGUUCUUCUCUGUCCCAGCACUAUCGUUCUCUGUUCCACCAGUCUCGUUCUCCUUCGCACUCUCUUUUUCGUCUUCCAUUUUCAGGCAGUUUCCUAUUUAAGGACAUUGUAUGCAUUUACAAAUGAAACUUUGGCUAAGUAUUCAUAUGCAACAUCAUUGCAAGCUACUCUUAGAUAUGGUAUAUUAAUUAGUCUUAUUCAAGGUCUUGGUCUUGGAUUUACAUAUGGUCUAGCAAUAUGUUCUUGUGCGUUACAACUCUGGGUUGGAAGAUUCUUGAUUAUUCAUGGAAAAGCGCAUGGUGGUGAAAUUAUAGCAGCUCUUUUUGCUAUAAUUCUAAGUGGCCUAACAAAGCAGAGGGGAUGAUCUAGAAUCUCUUGGUUACGUGAAGGUUAGAUAAUUGAGAAAUGUUUCUACUUUAUGACUUUUGGAGGUUUAAUGCUAUUGAAGAAACGAAGAAAGUCAACAAGCAAUAGGAAAUACCAAAAACAUAUUAAUGCUGCUUUAGACGAACAAGAUGCUUUAAUUAAAGAAUUUGAAGAAGAGUUAUCUGCAUUGCAAGUUGAGCUGCUUGAAGCGUAGAAUAAAGAUGAUGGUGGUUACAGUACACCAUGUAAAGAACAUGACAAUUACAAUGACUUUGCAUGUGAGAGAGGAAUUUACAGCCAUGAAACCGUUAUGAAGGAAGGACUACACCGAGAGCGUUACAAAAGCAAAGCUUGUAGAACUUCCUACACUGGAUAUAGUACAAGACUUUAUUGAUCUAUGUAAUUUGUUAAUAGUGCAAUAUUUAGUACAUCUUGAAGUAUGGAUAAUUGUAUUUGGAUCAAUUAUUUUGAUUGUUAAUAAAUAAAGAAAGUGGUUAUUCGAAUUAUGAAUGUUAUUUUCAUUCCA